rnacentral:rRNA from 1 species
ACGGGAGGCAGCAGUGGGGAAUAUUGGGCAAUGGGCGAAAGCCUGACCCAGCGACGCCGCGUGAGGGAAGAAGGUCUUCGGAUUGUAAACCUUAGUCAACAGGGAAGAAGCAAGUGACGGUACCUGUGGAGGAAGCCACGGCUAACUACGUGCCAGCAGCCGCGGUAAUACGUAGGGGGCAAGCGUUAUCCGGAUUUACUGGGUGUAAAGGGAGCGUAGACGGUAUGGCAAGUCUGAUGUGAAAACCCGGGGCUCAACCCCGGGACUGCAUUGGAAACUGUCAAACUAGAGUGCAGGAGGGGUAAGUGGAAUUCCUAGUGUAGCGGUGAAAUGCGUAGAUAUUAGGAGGAACACCGGUGGCGAAGGCGGCUUACUGGACUGUAACUGACGUUGAGGCUCGAAAGCGUGGGGAGCAAACAGGAUUAGAUACCCUGGUA